rnacentral:rRNA from 1 species
AUGUUGACAACCGAAAGGUAGGCUUAGAAGCAGCCAUCCUUUAAAGAAAGCGUAACAGCUCAUUGGUUUAGUUUUUUUGCGUUGAAAAUGUUUGGAACUAAAAUUAUUUGUCGAAGUUGUAGAUUUUUAAAAAAAAAUGGUAGCAGAACGUUCUGUAAAUCUAAGAAGUUUUAUAGUGAUAUAAAAUGGAGAUAUCAGAAAUGAAAAUGUUGGUAUGAGUAACGAUAAACAAUGUGCAAAACAUUGUCGCCUUAAGUCCCAGGUUUCCAAAACAAGGCUAAUCCGUUUUGGUGUUAAUCGGCCUCUAAGAACAAAAACGAAAGUUUUGAUUCGAUGAGAGAUAUAAAGAACUUUUAAAAGUGACAAAGUACAAAUAUUAUUUUUAUUUCAUGGUUUAAAUAAAAGUUUUAUAGUGCUUUCUGGAAAUAGCUUUUAAAAACUGAAAAACCGUACCUUAAACCGACGCAGGUGGACAAGUUUAGUAAACUAAGGCGCUUGAGAGAAUUAUGUUGAAGGAACUCGGCAAAAUGACUCCGUAACUUCGGAAUAAGGAGUGACUUUAUAAAGGCAACUUUAUAAAGUUGUCACAAAAUCGGGGACAGCGACUGUUUAACAAAAACACAGGUCUCUGCUAAUUCGUAAGAAGAUGUAUUGAGACUGACGCCUGCCCAGUGCUGCAAGAUUAAAGGAAAAGGUCUUUUGGCUUCAACCCUAACUCCCAGUAAACGGCGGCUGUAAUCUUGACGGUCCUAAGGUAGCGAAAUUCCUUGGCAUUUAAUUGGUGUCCUGCAUGAAUGGCGUAACGACUGUCCCACUGUCUCCAACAUAAACUCAGUGAAAUUGAAUUUUCCGUGAAGAUGCGGAAUUCCUGUGGCUAGACGGAAAGACCCCGUGCACCUUUACUACAGUUAUAUAUUGUAAUAAAAUUUUUUUUGUGUAGAAUAAGUGGGAAGUUAUUAAUAUCUAUUUACACAAGUAAAUGAGUUAGACAUCGUUGAAAUACCACUCUAAAAAUUUUUUAUUACUUAUUAUUUAAUUAAGACAUUGUAUAAUGGGUAGUUUGACUGGGGCGGUCGCCUCCUAAAGAGUAACGGAGGCGUGCAUAAGGUAAGAUUGAAUUGAAAAUUAUCAAUUUGUAAGCAUAAUAGUAUAUACCUGCUUGACUGUGAGAUUGACAAAUCAAACAGGGACGAAAGUCGGUUAUAGUGAUCCGGUGAUUCUGAGUGGAAAGAUCAUCGCUCAACGAAUAAAAGGUACGCCGGGGAUAAC